CCUCCACCUCCCAGCAACAGGAAAGCAGUCGCAGUUGAUUCAGCAGUGUGUGAGGUGGUGUGGACUUCUGAUGUCCCCGAUCUGGUACUGUUGACAAGUGUGUGAGCGACUGGGAGCCAUCAGUGAACUUACUUUUUAUUCACCAAUUUCUAAGUGUAUAGAAGAUUGAAAACAUAAAAGUAGAUAAACAGAAAAACUGAAAGUAGAAAAACAGAAGAGAUAAACAGGAAGGAAACUACUACAUAAACAUACUCCUUAGAAACAAAAGAAACGGAAAGGAAAGUGAAUAAAGAAAUGUGUUCUAACUGUGGUGGUGAAUUUUCGUGUUGGUGGAAGUGUGUUGAUACUUGGGUGAAGUGUUGCAAGUGAGCUUCCGCCACGUCACUCCUCAGUCCUCCGCGGCGACAAGGGGAAAAAUAAGGAGUCUGCCCAUAUACCUGCCGCUGCGACCAUCUGAUCUCCCUCCUUCAUCUCCCUCCUCCAUCUCCCUCCUCCCCAAGGCCGCAUUGCCAGCGAGGAAAGAGCGUAACAGAUGCAGCAGGACUUUCAUCACAUCGCUCUUAGUUUCACAAUCGUCCUCUCGUCGUAUUGUCGAGGUUGGCCUGGCGUGCAGUGUUAUGAUUGGUGGAGCCCUAGCCACACCACGUCUUCGGGAGCUCUCAACUUGUCCUAAUCAAACUUGGCCAGACCCAGGAGGAGCAGGAGCGAACCAAAGCCUCUCGGUCUUGACAAUUUGAUAAAGGAAUCCUGAGUCUUUGAGGGAAAUUUACUGUCAUCCUUCUUUUUUGCUUUUUAUGUAGUUUUCAUAAUUAAAUUGCUGCGUUGGGUAUAAUUACUGUGCUCUUUGGUUAUUUUUUCUCUUUGAACUUGCAUAGA